GGUCUAAUUGCAAAAUAUAGGUGCCCAGGCUCCCCUCUCUGCCCCUGGGCUGAACUGCCUCUCCAAGGAAGGGGCGGGGUUUGCCCUUACUCAGCCCUCACGUUCACUCUUACUCCUUCCCUUUUUCUUUGAAGGGAAUGCUGUACAGCGGGAAAGAAGUUGCUCCAAAGGAAGAACAUUGAUUCAGGGCGAAAAGUAGCCUCUCCUUCCAUCCCAGGCGCCAUCAUAAAUGCUCACGAGUUCCAACAGAGCGGCUGGAGCAGGAGCCGGUGGAGACGGAACCAGGAGCUUGGCCAAGGGAAGCUCGUUUCUGGCAAAUCUCCCGCCCUUCGCAAACAAUUUUCUUUGGACGCCUUUCUUUCCUUCCUGUUCCCUAACCCCUAUUUAAACCUGAAGGUGCCCCAUGCCUUCACAGCUCUAGCCGUAUGUGAGCAGGACUAGGCUGAGUGGGGCAAGAAGCACAGAACCAGAUCUGUCAUCCUACGUCACCACCUGCGAGCUGCUUUGUGGCUUAUGGAGCCGGUCUUGGGAUGAUUGUUUCCAGAAGAGCAUUCUGUCUAGGUGACGAAAGGACCCAGAAGCCUGGGGAAAGCAGAGUGGUACUUGGGGUGUCACUUGAUGGACAAUCACAUUAUGUUGAGACCCUGUGUUCAAUCUGUAGUACCUACGUCCCUGUCCAAAGAAAAGAGAGCUGCAGAUCUACAGCAGUCAUUGAUAUGUUUCGUAAAAUGAGGUAUGAUACAGCGGGAGGGGGGUGCCUUAGCGAGCCCAUGCUGAGGCAUCCCCCACCCCAAGUACCAGCCAUAAGACGGGUCUAGUGUAAAAUGAAGUUUAUUUGGGCGCGUGAGAAGGGGGCGGGGUAAGAAGGAAAUAGACCAGAGAGAGGAGAAAGAAGGGAAGGGGCUG
rnacentral:lncRNA from 1 species